CCUGAACCGGAAACAGGGGAAUGUGUGGACUGACUGGCGCGGUCGCUUAAACAUUGUUUGGCAUGCUUGAAACGUACAACCGAACUUAGCAGUUAGUUGUGUCACUCGAACACGAAAGAUGUCCUUGUUUAUUGUUGACACGCACGUAGGGGACCACAAUGAAAGAACGUCGUCUCGGCGCUGGCUGCUGUCCAUCCAAAUCAGCUGCGGACAUUUUGUCACAGGAACGGAGUUUUGGAUCAGCAGAUGGACGUUUCAUUUGGACGUGUAGUUCAAGUGGCAAACAUUUAAGUCACAAGCAGGAUGACAUCGACGAGUCUUCGAGAAGUGGUCGGCCAACGAGGACAGCCUGGA